UAUUGCCUUGCGCUCUUUGACAUCCAUCAAUAACACAUGUAUUCAGUGAUAACCAUAUUAAAGGGCUUCCACCUACGCUUUAGAAGUUUCCUUACAAUGGAAUCUGCCCUUGCGGGUCCACUUGAAAAUAUGAAAAAAGAGGUGUGGAGGUUCUUGUGUGAAAAGUGGUCUGACAAGGACUAUAAGGUAACUUUGUCAAUCUUGUAGAUGAGAAAUGUUUAAUAAUAAAAUAAACACUUUGUACUCUGACGUAUGCAUUCAAUAAUAGGUGAGAUGUGACAAGAAUAAGUUGAAUUGGGAGAAGUUGAAAAUGCUCGACAUUGCUGGCUCGAAAGCCUUCAGAAAAGUGCAAUAUGAUGAGGCAAAUUCAACUCUUAUAUAUGGUGAAACACACACCUUGCCCCGGCAGGCAAAGAGGAAGUACUGCUGCCCGAAUUUACACCAAAUCCUGUUUUGGAGGUCCUGCAAGUUUGCGUCGAUUUGAAGUUUGGGAGCUCUUGCUAGAUUUUAAAUGCCAUUUCAACAAAGCCAUUGAGAAGAAAAUGCGAUGAGUUGAGUUGUUUUGUUAUGUAGGUAGAUAUAACUUCAAUUAUAAUCUGUUCAUUGAAUAGUUGAAUGCUACAAACAAUGCUUAUGGCACUAGCCUUAUAAAUUGGAAAUGAUACUUUUGAAAUCUCUGUCAGUUUAUGAUAUACAAUUAAGAUAUUACAUACUAAUGAAUUAGAGUAUGGUAUUUGUUUGUUA